AACUUGUGAAAACCUUCAUACAGCUGAGAACUGCGGCGCUUUGAAAGUCAGCUAGAUUUUUAGGAACUCUAUAUCUGCCAACAUAUAGGGACAAGCCAUCUUCACAACAGGAUCGCUUCAGCUUCCGCCUGCCUGGUGCAUUUCUUUGGCACACCAGGCAGCUCUGACCUGCACCAACAGCAGGUCUGAAAUUCAGUGCUGUGCAAACGUAACCUUUCAAGCAUGAAUUUCUGACAAAGGUGGUUGCCCAGAGCAAACGGUGAAGGCUUUUCUUGCAGAGAUGAAAAGGUGGAGAGAGGGAACCAGCUUGGCAGCUGGGGCAGUAAGCAAUCAGCGUUGUGUUUUGUUUUGUUUUAAAAGUGUUUGAAGUUUUUCCUGUGCAGCUGACUUGUGUUGCAGCAGAGAAGACCUCACCAUAGAGCAUUUCUCCCAUCAUCUGAAGACGGGCUGCUGGCAGCACUCCCAUCCACAAUGAUGUAGCACAGCUGGCUGCCUGGAUUUCUGUCUGAUAGCUGAAUAUUUUGUGUCGUGCCAUUCUUGGCUGCCCUUUUAUACUUUCUCCGUAUUACAGUGCACAAGAACCUCCAGCAGAUUUUCGGGUGAUGGGCAGGAAAUCAUUUACCACGUCCUUCCUCCGUGCUAUGGCAUUGUGUUCAAAAAGCUGUCUAAUUGCUAGAAUGUGAGGCUUUGUCUUUGCUUGCUUUAGCCAGAGCUCUGGUGCCUCGAUGCCAUCAGGCGUGGCUCCUCUCCAUCACAUACCCUGAGAAGAAAGGUAUUGCAUCAUUGCAUGCACUGCCUCUUGCUGGCUGCAGUUCUCCAUUCUCCAGCACAUGCAGAAAGUAGUAGCCCAGAGGCUGUGCUGACUCUCCCUCCAUCCUUAGUGCCACGAAACAAUUUUUGAAGGGAGUGAUCAUGCUGAGCCAGUGUGGCUGUGGAGUAAUGGAGGCCACACAAGCAUGAUUUUACUGGAGUCUGAAGGAAGCCAAGUUGUUUGGAAAGUCUCCACAUGAAGCUUGGAGCAAACACACUCACUGCAGAGGGAAGGUGUACCUCUCCCAGGGAGUGACAGGAGCUGAGGAAUGGAAAUCAUUUGUGACAUUUCCAAUCUACGUCCUCUCAGGAGCAUAAAGGUGGAUCACAGAGGAUGAAACCACUGGUCUUGCCAACAAUGUCCUGCUGAAGGAGGCUGUCACUGCAGCACGCCAAGGGGACAUGCAAGCAGCAUGGUGGCAGGCAGUGUGGGACAAGCAGCUCUAGAAACCUUUCCCAAAACUGCUGCGAUGGGAGGCUGGCUUCUCCCCAGAAGCCCAAGAGUGUAAAUCCCUUCCAGAGCCCUUGUUUAUUUUUAUGUAUGUAUUACUAGCCCUCCAGCCCUCUUUCAAAUCCUGCUAAGCUUUUGGUUGUGAUGACACUCAAGAGGAAUGGAUUCCACAGAGUAAUUGCAAGCCACACAAAAAUUUAUUUCCUUUUUAUCAGUUUUAAAAGCAUCUCUUUUCAAUGUAAUUGAACGUUCCCUUGUGUUUAUACUGUGAAAGUGAAACCAGCAGCAUGUGUUUGUGAGGGCAUUUGCUGGACAGAGGCUGAGCCUGGCUUCCCACAGCUCCAAGCCAGGGGAAAUCACACAGAGAAGAAUAAGCAAAUCAAUGGUUCUUUUAAUCAAACUCAACAGUAAUUUGCAACAAAAGGAAAAUCUUAUUCUUGAGCAUUUUCAUAGGAAAAUUAGUCCUUAUAACAGACAAAAGAUUUUUGGGUUGUUUUUUUUUUAUUUUUUCCCUAUUUGCCACCCAGGAAUGAUUUCAUACAUUUUCACCCUCACCCUGUCCCUUUGUUCCAACUGCGAAAUCUACGCACGAACACCUCUUACUAAAGGGGCUAAUUAAGCACAUGAUCCCUUUUCCCUUCUCAUAAAAGCUGCUGGAGAGCAACCCAAGCAAUAUCCUUAUUACAGCUGUGCUCGAAAAGCUCCUUCCUUGGCAAGGGAAGGGUACUUGUGAUGGCAAGACACAUUUCCUGAUGUGCUGGGGUCACAUCACGCGUUUACACACUGCUUUACCAGGGAAUGGUACCAGCAGCAUGGGCAGAAGUGUUUAUUUUUGGUGUCACUACAUUUCAGCAGAUGUUACAGGCUCAAUUAUCCCUGCACUUCAGCUGUAACAUUGCAUUUUCUCUAAGCUCCUUUUAUUUGGCUGAAACGCUUUCGUUGGAAGACACUGCCUUCUGUAAGCUGGAGCUUCAGCACGGUAGAGCUUGACAGCUACCUUUGGUAAGCAAAUUUGUCUUUUUGGAUUGACUCCACAGCCCAGCUACAAAUCACAUUUGACGUACAGCUGAACAAAACAAGUUUCUUAAUAUGGAGUAUAAUACACUUGCCCAUUCUAGACACUAUCCAAUGCUUUAAUGUGGGCUCAUUAGUCACAAAGAAUAAGUAAGUCAGCGUUCAGAUAAACUACACUUCUGCAAGGCAGGAAAAGUCUACAUUCAGCAUCCUCACGGGAAAGGUGAGCAUCUCUGUGUGUCGGGAAACAACGUGACACAUCCCACAGCUCCUGAGUCACAGCUGGGAAAUGCAGCACAGCAGUUAUUCCAUUCUGAAGUCGACUGUGAUGAGCUGUGUUGGAGUGGUGGGCAAUUUUAAGAAGUGGGGAUCACUUCUUCCAUUUUGACUUCCUGCCUUUGCCGAUUCUAUCAGCAUACCGUGGUCACCAUUCUUCCCUGCCUCGCUUUGUGAAAGAGAACUGUGCGUUUGUUAUAUGUAUAACAUAAACAUUUUAAACACUUUCUGGGGAGCACAUGUAAUAUAGUGUGAAUGAAGUUGAAAAUAACUGGGAAUGGCGAGCCAGAUAAAUAAUAUAGAAAUCAGCCAAAUGCUAAGUCAAGCAAGUAAAGCAAAUACUUCCAAAGAAUCAUUUUCUUUUAAAAUCUACCCGAACAUAGAAAUACACCUCUCUCACGUCCGCUGCUUUACGAACACACGUAUAUGUUGAUUGGUAGGAAAGCAGGAGCUGCCAUUUACCGCAUUGCGAUCUAUAGCAAGAUGUGGCAGCUUUCUGCUAUUCCUUAAGAGAAAUUCAGUAGAACGACAAGGAGAGGGGACACAUUAAAGUUUUAUUACUUUAGUGGCAGUAUUCUCCAGAGAAAACAAUAAUAAAUUCCCUACACUGUGACUGUCUAAAUAGAUUAUCCAACAAUUAUUAUUAAUUAUUAAUCAUCCAGUGACUCAGAAGCCACCCCGUGGCUGCCUACUGCAAGAAUCCUACAGCUUUUGCAACCUAAUGAUAUGAUUUUCCAAAUUACAGUGUUGCAGUGCUAAACCAUAUGAAAGGUUAAUGGGAGAGGGAGUGAUGAAGUGAUACGAAUGUCUAAGGUUGUACCUUGAUUUGCUGGCAGUAGGUUGUGAAAAAGGAACUCAAGCAAAUUCAGCAGAAAACUAGUUAACUUAAAGAUUAUUACGAGAACUGAAAUGGGAGUUGAAGGCAUUUUAAAGGGUCUGGAUUUGUGAAAAUACCUUAAAAUAGUCCAGUAGGCAAGAACAUCUUUUUCUCUUCUAUUACCAAAGAACACCCUUUCCAACCCAGCGUACAAGUGGCAAAGCUGAGUGCUGUAAUUCACAUUAUCUAUGAGCAUCCUUGGCUGCCCAUGUUUACCACACAGGAAAACAAGAUUGAUUUCUCGUUCUUAAGCACAUUUGUAACGUCUGUGCAAAUGAAUGUAGGACACAUCCCAACAAGAUCAAUAUUUAUGCAGCCUACUUUGGAAAGAACAAGAGAGUUGCUUCAGCACAGCAGGGGACCUACUCAUUGGCUUUCCUGCAGUUUCCUCUUUUCCUCCUUUUCCGCACAGUUUGCCUGCUGGGUGCUCACUGCUGAUUAAAAGUAGUGCUAACGAAGGGACGCCCCCAGGCCACCUGGAGCAGUGGGACCCCAUAUGGACACACAGCCAAAUACAGCGCCCAUAGCUCCUGUCCGCAGCUUCCUCCAGCCCCAUCCAUCUGCUUCUCUGUGGCUCACGGCUGCUCACACUUCAUGCCACUUGCAAAAGAGCAGCAAUCAAUUAUCCUAAUUAAAUGCAACAAUGGAAUAUUGAA